rnacentral:rRNA from 1 species
UACGUAGGGGCAAGCGUUGUCCGGAAUUAUUGGGCGUAAAGAGCGCGUAGGCGGUCCGAUAAGUCGGCUGUGAAAGUCAGGGGCUCAACCCUUGAAAGCCGGCCGAUACUGUCGGACUAGAGUCCGGAAGAGGCAAGUGGAAUUCCCGGUGUAGCGGUGAAUGCGCAGAUAUCGGGAGGACACCAAUGGCGAAGGCAGCUUGCUGGGACGGUACUGACGCUGAGGCGCGAAAGCGUGGGGAGCGAACAGG